UGCGAAGGGGGCUAGCGUUGUUCGGAAUUACUGGGCGUAAAGCGUAUGCAGGCGGAUCGUUAAGUCGGGGGUGAAAUCCCGAGGCUCAACCUCGGAACUGCCUUCGAUACUGGCGACCUUCGAGUCCGGGAGAGGUGAGUGGAACUCCGAGUGUAGAGGUGAAAUUCGUAGAUAUUCGGAAGAACACCAGUGGCGAAGGCGGCUCACUGGCCCGGUACUGACGCUGAGAUACGAAAGCGUGGGGAGCAAACAGG
rnacentral:rRNA from 1 species